ACCGGUUUGACAUUUUAUCUAUUUUUUUUUAUUCUCUCCCUCCGUUCGAUGCGAUGACGACGUCGAAGGUAAACUGCUGAUGAUCACAGAUUCUCCCCCAUACGGCCGGAUGUUAUUAUCUCUAACGAGGUUACGUCAUUUUUUCGAUAAUAUCCGCAGUGUCUUUGCUGGUAAAAAGAGACGAGUUGAUACUCGGACAAUCAUUAUCCAAUAUUAUUUGACGUUAAGAACACAAUACUUAAUUAAGGCGAUC